rnacentral:lncRNA from 1 species
UGGUGGGUGGGCCCACGCGUGGGGCGGGAAGCAGGCCCGCUGUCACGCUAGCCGGUGCUGACCCUCUGGAGCUGCCCAGGAGACAAAGGUUAAAAGAGAGCGCCGCAGACCGGCUGGAACUGUCGGAAAGGGAGCUGAACUUGCUGGAAGUCUGGGUAAUCCACAAACACUUAGGGAAGGAAGUCAAGAACUAGGAAUUACUACUUAUAGCAAAGCAGCCA